GCACAAUUGAAUUUCAGUUAAGUUUAAUAUGCUUAAUCUGAUCAGACAUUGUGCUACAGGAAAUUCUCCUUUCUGAACCAUGGUCAGACCAAAAUUUUAUGGUCUUGCACACUGAUAGAAUUGGAACAAAU